AGAGUUUGAUCAUGGCUCAGAUUGAACGCUGGCGGCAGGCCUAACACAUGCAAGUCGAGCGGUAGCACAGAGAGCUUGCUCUCGGGUGACGAGCGGCGGACGGGUGAGUAAUGUCUGGGAAACUGCCUGAUGGAGGGGGAUAACUACUGGAAACGGUAGCUAAUACCGCAUAAUGUCGCAAGACCAAAGUGGGGGACCUUCGGGCCUCAUGCCAUCAGAUGUGCCCAGAUGGGAUUAGCUUGUAGGUGGGGUAACGGCUCACCUAGGCGACGAUCCCUAGCUGGUCUGAGAGGAUGACCAGCCACACUGGAACUGAGACACGGUCCAGACUCCUACGGGAGGCAGCAGUGGGGAAUAUUGCACAAUGGGCGCAAGCCUGAUGCAGCCAUGCCGCGUGUGUGAAGAAGGCCUUCGGGUUGUAAAGCACUUUCAGCGGGGAGGAAGGCGUUAAGGUUAAUAACCUUGGCGAUUGACGUUACCCGCAGAAGAAGCACCGGCUAACUCCGUGCCAGCAGCCGCGGUAAUACGGAGGGUGCAAGCGUUAAUCGGAAUUACUGGGCGUAAAGCGCACGCAGGCGGUCUGUCAAGUCGGAUGUGAAAUCCCCGGGCUCAACCUGGGAACUGCAUUCGAAACUGGCAGGCUAGAGUCUUGUAGAGGGGGGUAGAAUUCCAGGUGUAGCGGUGAAAUGCGUAGAGAUCUGGAGGAAUACCGGUGGCGAAGGCGGCCCCCUGGACAAAGACUGACGCUCAGGUGCGAAAGCGUGGGGAGCAAACAGGAUUAGAUACCCUGGUAGUCCACGCCGUAAACGAUGUCGAUUUGGAGGUUGUGCCCUUGAGGCGUGGCUUCCGGAGCUAACGCGUUAAAUCGACCGCCUGGGGAGUACGGCCGCAAGGUUAAAACUCAAAUGAAUUGACGGGGGCCCGCACAAGCGGUGGAGCAUGUGGUUUAAUUCGAUGCAACGCGAAGAACCUUACCUGGUCUUGACAUCCACAGAACUUUCCAGAGAUGGAUUGGUGCCUUCGGGAACUGUGAGACAGGUGCUGCAUGGCUGUCGUCAGCUCGUGUUGUGAAAUGUUGGGUUAAGUCCCGCAACGAGCGCAACCCUUAUCCUUUGUUGCCAGCGGUCCGGCCGGGAACUCAAAGGAGACUGCCAGUGAUAAACUGGAGGAAGGUGGGGAUGACGUCAAGUCAUCAUGGCCCUUACGACCAGGGCUACACACGUGCUACAAUGGCAUAUACAAAGAGAAGCGACCUCGCGAGAGCAAGCGGACCUCAUAAAGUAUGUCGUAGUCCGGAUUGGAGUCUGCAACUCGACUCCAUGAAGUCGGAAUCGCUAGUAAUCGUAGAUCAGAAUGCUACGGUGAAUACGUUCCCGGGCCUUGUACACACCGCCCGUCACACCAUGGGAGUGGGUUGCAAAAGAAGUAGGUAGCUUAACCUUCGGGAGGGCGCUUACCACUUUGUGAUUCAUGACUGGGGUGAAGUCGUAACAAGGUAACCGUAGGGGAACCUGCGGUUGGAUCACCU
rnacentral:rRNA from 1 species